rnacentral:rRNA from 1 species
UACGGAGGAUGCGAGCGUUAUCCGGAUUUAUUGGGUUUAAAGGGUGCGUAGGCGGACUGUCAAGUCAGCGGUAAAAUUGAGAGGCUCAACCUCUUCCCGCCGUUGAAACUGGUGAUCUUGAGUGGGCGAGAAGUAUGCGGAAUGCGUGGUGUAGCGGUGAAAUGCAUAGAUAUCACGCAGAACUCCGAUUGCGAAGGCAGCAUACCGGCGCCCGACUGACGCUGAGGCACGAAAGCGUGGGGAUCGAACAGG